AACACGAACCAUUGCCCUCCUUGGACCAAAGAAUGUAAAUCAUGAAGAAGCAAUGGAAAAGUUUCUCAAAGAUACUCUUUCUGUUGACUUCGAAGUAAGAAAUAUUUGCUUAUUAAUGUUAAAUUUUUAUUUAGUUGUUUCUAUUUUUAUUGUUUUGUUUUCUUAAUGGGAAAAAAGUUCCAAGUUCGGGAAAAUGAGAAAGGGUCAAAAGCUUCCUCACACUUUGGGUCGAAAUGCUUUUUCACGUACGGCUCAUGAGAUGGUACAAUUACACACCUAUCUUGUCUGGUUAGGAAUGGAGUUUCAUUUCUUCUUAGUUAUAGGUAUUACACACCAUUGUUGAUUUCCUUCAAGUAUUCAUUACGUAAUUACUGGAUUUAUAUUGUAGAGAAAAAAGAAUCCGGGCUUAAAGGGGUUAAGAACUAGAGUAUGGAUGCAUGGACAUCUUAGAAAUGAUGAAAAGGAUAGAAGAUUGUGCCCAAUCAAUUUCUGAUACACCAGCAGAAAAUUCCAUCCACGAUGAUGGUGUUGCUCGAAUUUUAGGUCCUGAACAUCGUGAAAGAGUUAGAGGACUUGGAUUUGUAGUUUCACCAUCGAAAGUGGAUGGACAAUUCAAAUUAAUGGGAGAGUGAGAGAACUUGAUGAAAAGGUUGGAGCACUAGAAGAAAGGUUGAAGCACUUCUUAAAUUAUCUCAACAGAAUCAAAACAAGAAUGUAGACGACUUGAGUUCACGUGCUUUUACUCAGUCACAACAAGGAAGUGGUAUCUAUGGAGGGAUUGCACAUACGGAACAUGCAAGGUUUCAACUGUUGCAUUGGUGCAUAUUUAAAGAGGAAGAAAUUGUAGUUGAAGGAAGGAUUGCAUCAAUAGACCCAAGUGCAAAGGUCAUCACAUACCAAUCGGACGAGAUUGUUGGACUGUUUGGGUUGAGGAAGUGCAUAUGGGCCAUUUGAACUUAUGUAGACCUACUGAUGAAUUUUGAGUGCUUAGAGAAGCCAUAGGAAGUAUAGUUGUUUGGCUAAAGAGCAGUAUUAGACUUAUUUAACAAGGUAUGUAAUGCAUUUCUGCAUUUUUGUUUCUGUGUGUAAUAUCUGUACUUGCUAGGAAAAAAUGGUUUGAUGGAUGAAAAACAAGCACACUCCGGUGUGGUUUAGAGGCUUACUUGGGUGUAAGCCUCUGGAAAUUGAGGCAUAAGUCCUGACCAAUAGCACAUAAGGUGUAAAAUUUGGAGGGCAACCAAAAUAUGCUCAAUAUCUUUGUUGUUCACUUCACUCUUUCCUCUCAGAGUUUCUAGCAAAUAAUGUAUCAGAAGAUUACGAGAACCAUAUUUUGCACCCGUCAAAUCUUUAUUCAAGAAAAUAUUACCAACAUGUUAUACAUAUCAUUUAUUUCUCAA